GGUUCAGUCGCCCCUAAGCGUGGCACGAAGCGUUCUUUGUUUUCAAGCCCUCCGAAACGGAACACACAGUUGGCUGAUGCUUGUGCCGCCGCAGCUGAAGAAGAGCCAGCGACGUUGGUUGAGCCUGUGGAAGAUGAUUGUAUAACCACUGAUGUAGAGAAAAACGGACCGCCUCCAAACCCAAAAUCUAAGAGGAACGCCAAUUCUGCGAAGUCAGGUACCUUGCCCAAGAAAGCGAAGCCGUAGACACUUGGACGAUGUGUUUGUGGGCGGCGUAUGUAUAUAAGGUCUUCGUCCGCGCUGCCUUAUCUUCAGCUAUGGUGCCUUCUGCAAGCAUGCCUCACAUGGACCAUCCGAAGAGCUUGUUAGUAUCUUAGUAACAUUCCGUGGCUCGCCCUGUGCUGUUGGUCAGUGAGCCUUCCUUGCUAGAUCGUCGGGUUACCGAGGCAGCCUCAUCGUCUUGGUGCAAGUCGAUGUCACCUUUGCACUGUCUAUGUAAAUGCCGAUGCAAAGC